GAUUCCCAGCUAAAAUGAGGCUCUGUUCUUGGGUUCUGGGUUUCCUAAUGCUCUGGAUCACUGGGUCCAGUGGCGAUAUUAUACUGACUCAGACUCCACUGUCCCUGGCUGUCAACCUGGGAGAGAAGGUCUCCCACUCCUGCAGGUCAAAUCAGAGCCUCAUAUAUAGCAAUAGAAAUAGCAUUCUGUAUUGGUUCCUUCAGAAGCCUGGCCAGUCUCCACAGCGAUUGAUCUAUUGGGCUACCAACCGAGGAUCUGGGGUCCCAGACAGAUUCAGUGGCAGUGGGUCAGGCACAGAUUUCACACUGCAAAUCAGCAGGGUGGACGCUGAGGAUAUUGGCAUUUAUUACUGCAUGCAAGGUAUAGAUACUCCUCCCACAGUGAUACAGUCCUUAACAAAAACAUCACUUUAG